AACAAAAAAGAGAAGGAGAAGAAGAAGAGGAGGAAGAGGAGGAAGAAGAAGAAAUAUUCAAAAACUUCUCCGAAGCCACAUUACUGGGAUUCAAGCAAUAAGCCCCAGAGACAGGAGGUGACUCCAGGUUGAUAUAGCAACUGAUUGCAGCAUCUCAGUACUGAGGGCAGUUCUGGUAUGCCGGUGAAGAGGACUCUGUUGUCAUGGUAACCGUUUGAUGAACUGCGGCUAGUGUUGACAAUUUGACAGGAUCCAGAUUCACCUGGGAGAUGGGUGUGCCCGGGGGGGGGGGGGAGGUUUACCUUGAUUACAUUAAUGGGCGGCGUGAAUGGAGACUGCGAGGAGAAAUGCAGCAACAUGCAUUGCUCUUUCCGAGCUGAUGAUGCAACACCUACCAGCUGCUUCAGGGACCCGAUGCCUUGACUUCCCUGCCGUGAUGGAUGGCACCCUGAACUGUGAGCUACCAUAAGCCCUCUCUCCCUCUCCCUCAGUUUGUUAUUGUCAAAGUGUUUCUUUCUUUUUCGUUUUCUCUUUAAUCACAGCAACAGGAAGAGAAACUAAGAUGCGCGGCAUGGUGCUGGGUGUUGCCGUGUUGGGGUAGUCCCAGGACGCUGGGAGGAGGUGGUGAUGGUCUGCUGGUUCCGAUCGGUCAGCUGGGAUAUGUAUUUUCUGUUCAAGUGGUAUUGAAACAGGAUACCACAGGAAGUCCCUGUGAAGGUUUCUGAGACGGAUGUCUUGUUAUAUAACCCAGGCUGGCCCUGAACCCAGCCUCUCAAUUGCUGAAACUACUGGCCUGUGCCACUCCAUGUGUAGCAUUAGCCAGCCUGAAGCUGGCCAGGUAGACCAGGAUGGCCUUAGACCAUCUUCCCUCUUCCUUCUGAGUUUUGGGAAUAUGGUCUUGGCUCACCACUCUUAGUAGCACAUCCUUCUUUUCCUCGCCCCCAUCCCUGUUCCUCCUUGCAUGCUUAUGUGUGUGCAUGUAUGUGGAGGAUACAAGUUAGUGCUAAGUAUCUUCCUCAAUUGCUCUCUGUUUACCAGUGAAGAAUGAUUUGGCAAACAUCUUCAAAGUCAUAUUAUUGGAAUCCAGAAGUAAGAAACACACGCACACAGGGGGCGGGAGAUGGAUGGACAUGGUGACUCUAGUCUGAUUGGUAAUUGAUGGCAGCAGCUUCGUCUUGGGUUGGUCUUGGUCUGUCUGUCUUUCUCUCUCUCUCUUCCUCUCUCUGGCAGGAUCUUUUAAUGAACAAGAAGCUCUCCAAUUCAGCUAGUAAGCUUGCCCCCAUCUCUAUCUCAGCAGCUUGAAUGCUAGGAUUGCAGCAAAUAAAGUGAUAGAAUGUUCCAUCCAUAAUUCUAAACCAUCGGUGAAUGGCGAGGAAGCAGAAUGGGUGAUUGUGGAGUGCUGUCAGAGUACAGCAUGGCCUUUCCCAUCUCAGUCAAUGUGUUGGUGAUGACCUGUGUGAGACACCCAACGAGAGCAGACUGGCUGGCAUUUCUUCAUGGAAGGAAACGAUAGACCCUCACCUGAGACUCCAACAGUCCCUCCUGUACUCCCUGACCAGAGGUUUUGAAAGGUCACGUCUUUCAUGCUGGACCAGGACUUUGCAGCAAUUCAGCUCACCCACACUCCUUCGAAAUGCUAAGCAGCCAUUGCAGAAGAGACUCAGAAAGACAAUGUUGCAACACAAAUUGCUACACCUAGGAUGCUAUGUGAAAGAGCAGAACUGAAGAUUCCAGCCUGUCCCGUGAUUGUUCCACACAUGCCUGGUCCCCAGGAGAUAAGAGAUGAGUGUUUGCCUGAAGGAGGUCUGAAGAUCACAAGCCAGAAUCCAUUAGUGACUCCACAGUAUCAAAAGUGUUCUUCUGUGUAGCCCUGGCUGACCUGGAACUU